rnacentral:rRNA from 1 species
AUUGAACGCUGGCGGAAUGCUUUUACACAUGCAAGUCGAGCGGCAGCGCGGGGCAACCUGGCGGCGAGCGGCGAACGGGUGAGUAAUACAUCGGAACGUGCCCAGACGUGGGGGAUAACUACUCGAAAGAGUGGCUAAUACCGCAUACGAUCUAAGGAUGAAAGCGGGGGAUCGCAAGACCUUGCGCUGAUUGAGCGGCCGAUAUCAGAUUAGCUAGUUGGUGAGGUAAAGGCUCACCAAGGCGACGAUCUGUAGCGGGUCUGAGAGGAUGAUCCGCCACACUGGAACUGAGACACGGUCCAGACUCCUACGGGAGGCAGCAGUGGGGAAUUUUGGACAAUGGGGGCAACCCUGAUCCAGCCAUGCCGCGUGAGUGAAGAAGGCCUUCGAGUUGUAAAGCUCUUUCGGCCGGGAAGAAAUCGUAUGGGUUAAUACCCUGUGCGGAUGACGGUACCGGCAUAAGAAGCACCGGCUAACUACGUGCC